GAGACUCUGUGCGCGUGCAUAUCAAUAAGCGGAGGAAAAGAAACUAACAAGGAUUCCCUUAGUAACGGCGAGUGAAGCGGGAAGAGCUCAAAUUUGAAAUCUUCAAGGUCUACCUUGACGAAUUGUAGUUUAAAGAAGUGUUUUCUGUUAGAUGAGUAGCAAAAGUUCCUUGGAAUGGGACAUCAUAGAGGGUGAGAAUCCCGUAUUUGGUUAUUCAUUCUAGCUUUGUGAUACACUUUCAAAGAGUCGGAUUGUUUGGGAAUGCAGUCCAAAAUGGGUGGUAAAUUUCAUCUAAAGCUAAAUAUUGGCGAGAGACCGAUAGCGAACAAGUACCGUGAGGGAAAGAUGAAAAGAACUUUGAAAAGAGAGUUAAACAGUACGUGAAAUUGUCAAAAGGGAAGCGUUUGACACCAGUGUUGUUUUUCCGAAAAUCAAUUACGAAUGGCUUGAUUUUGUGUUGUAUUGACCUUAUCAGCUUUCUGCACUUUUUUCGAGUCUUUCUUAAUGCACUUUUCGGUUAACAAGUCAACAUCAAUUUCUUUUGUUGUAAAAGAGUAUUCGGAAGGUGGCUUUCUUUUCGGAGAAAGUGUUUAUAGCCCUAUACUUCUACAAUCGGAGAGAUUGAGGUCUGCAGCGUAGAUCCUUCGGGGUUAGAUACACUUGUGCUAAGUUGUAGCUUUUCAUAGACAACUUGUUGACUAUGUUUAGUCAUGCGGCUUACUCGCUUGUGCUAUUUUACCUACGCUUAGGAUGUUGACUGAUAUGUAGUCGU
rnacentral:rRNA from 1 species